UUCUUUUUUUUUGCAAUCAAUUUAUAUUACACUCAAAAUAAUAAAUUUUGGGUAAAUUUAUUACUGUAUACAAAUAUACACAGUUUUUUGAAGUUUUUUAAUGGAUGAUUGAAAUUCAUAGUAGGAGUACAAAAUUUUUGUUCUUCUAUUCUUGAUUGACGUGAUUCAACUGCAUCCGAUCUGAAUUGGGAUUUGCAGCAGAUGCAAUCAUGCAAGGCUCCGCCGCGGAGCUGGCAAGCCUCAUAAGCCGAACUCUGCUCGUAGCGUCGAGCCGCGCAUGGACGCCGUCACACGAGAAGACGCUACACCAACUCGGCUGCCGCCACUCACUGAGCCCCACCGUCGUCGCCCGAGUCAUCGACCCCUUCCUCCUCAACCAACACUCUCUCGCUUCCGGAUUCUUCAAUUGGGCGUCCCAGCAGCCAGGCUUCUCCCACUCCUCCGACACCUACCAAUCCCUCCUCAAAUCCCUAGCCAUUUCCCGCCAAUUCAACUCUAUCGAUAAGCUUCUAAAGCAAAUCAGAGCGCAGAGGGUUUCCUUGCACCCCCGCGUUUAUCGCUCCGUCAUUGCUUCUCUUGUCGCUGGGAGGAGAACUCACACGGCCUUCUCUCUCUUUCGCGACGUUGCCUCCAUCGCGCCGGAGAUAGGGCCUGAAGCUUGCAAUUCGCUUCUGGCCGCGCUGGCUUCUGAUGGGAAUGUGAAGAGUGCCCGCAAUGUGUUCGGUGAAAUGCUUAACAGAGGUGUUCGUCUCAGUACUAUUGGUUUUGGGGUUUUUGUGUGGAGGAUUUGCGGAAAGAUGGAACUGGUUGAGAUUCUGGGUUUGAUUGAUGAUGUAAAAAAGGUUGAUUUUUCGGGGGUUAAUGGGUCGGUUGUUGCGCUGCUGGUGGUUCAUGGUUUAUGCACAGAGCUUCGGGCGAAUGAUGCGAUGCUUGCAUUGGAGGAGUUGAGGAAAAGAGAAUGUAAGCCUGACUUUAUGGCGUAUAGAGUUGUGGCUGAGACGUUGCGCCAGAUGGGAUGCGUGGUUGAUGUGAACAUGGUUUUGAAGAGGAAACGUAAGUUAGGGGUGGCGCCAAGGGCCAGUGAUUAUCGGGAGCUUAUUCUUCAGUUUGUCACAGAGAGACACUUGUGUGAAGCAAAAAACUUGGGCGAUGUGAUAGUGAGUGGAGAUUUUACGAUUGACGAUGAUGUUCUGAAUGUCUUGAUAGGAUCUGUUUCGUCUUCUGAUCCCGCACGUGCAAUCUCAUUUUUAAGGUUUAUGCUCGAGAAAGAGAGAUCACCAACUCUGCUGACAGUGAUCAACUUGAGUGAAAACCUUUGUAAGCAUGGAAAGGGAGAAGAGUUGGUUGAAGUAUUCCAGCUCUUGUCCAUGAAGGAGUACUUCAGGGACUCGGAGAGUUACAAUGUGAUGGUUUCCUACCUUUGUAAGGCGGGAAGAGUUAAAGAAGCUUAUCGGGUGCUUCAAGAGAUGAAGAAAAAAGGUUUAGGACUCGACGUGUCAUCUUACAAUUAUCUUCUCGAAGCUUGCUGCAGGGAGGAUCUUGUGCGCCCUGCAAAACGGCUGUGGGAUGAGAUGUUUGCAAUUGGUUGUUGUGGUAAUUUGGAAAGUUUCAAUAUCCUUAUCAACAAAUUUUGUGAAGUAGAUCUGGUCGAAGAUGCUUGCCACCUGUUUAACCAGAUGACCAUGAAAGGAUUGGAACCCAAUGAGUCAACAUACAAAUCCCUCCUUCAGGGCAUCUGCCGGGCGAAAAAUGUUGAGUUAGCUCUUGAAAUAUUCAACAAGGCUGUUGAACAGGACGAAGGACUUGCCAAGGCCUUACUGAAUGCCUUUGUUCUUUGCCUCUGCAAAGAAGGGUUUCUCCUUCCGGUUUCUCAAUUGUUGCGUGAACUCACUUGUCGCAUGGGAUGUGCAAAAUCCCAUUUGACUUUUUUGAGAUACUUAGCUGAUGCUGGACAGCAUUCCUUGGCCUGCAAGCACUUACAAUGGAUUGCAGAUGAAUCACCUGAAAUGCUACAUACUAUUCCCUCUGAAUUUGCUGCAUCACUCUCAUCCUCAUGAUUCAGAUUAUCAACGAGAGUUUAAACGUGAUCAUGGGGGAUUUAAGGGUGAGCUCUACCCCAUUGCAGACCUCCAAGAAAACUGGCAUCCUACCGGCAGUCUAUGUUAGAUGUAGCAAAUGGGUAACUCACACUUCAAGUGAAUGAUGAGGGCCACACUUGUCCAUUUAUCAAUCUAUAUGAUUCCAUGAAGAUGAAUAUUCCAAGAACCAUGAUGAAGGUAUGGUUUUGAAUGGGGGCUCCUCCAAUGUUAUGGGAGAUUGCUACACUUGGAAGGAAAUGCUGGCGUCUCGUUGCGUCGAUAAUGGUCGUAUUGGACUUUUCAGAUUACUGCGUUUAAGAAGAUGCAUCACAAAUUGUAUACUACUAUAAUCUUAGUCCACCCUGUUUGUGCUUAAAAAUGUAGUGAGAAAUGGACAUGUUAGUUUGGAUGAUCAAGAACCAUGUGAGAUCUUGAUGUAAGAAAUAUAUGCAGGAGAUAAAUACUUCCUCCACUCCUAA